UACGGAGGGCGCAAGCGUUGUUCGGAAUCACUGGGCGUAAAGCGCGUGUAGGCGACUCUGCAAGUCGGGUGUGAAAUCCCGAGGCUCAACCUCGGAACUGCACUCGAUACUGCUUGGCUCGAGUCCCGGAGAGGGUGGCGGAAUUCCCGGUGUAGGGGUGAAAUCCGUAGAUAUCGGGAGGAACACCAGUGGCGAAGGCGGCCACCUGGACGGUGACUGACGCUGAGACGCGAAAGCGUGGGGAGCGAACAGG
rnacentral:rRNA from 1 species